CCCUUAGAUGUUCUGGGCCGCACGCGGGCUACACUGACGAAUGCAACGAGCUUAUAACCUUGGCCGAAAGGUCUGGGUAAUCUCCAAAUUUCGUCGUGAUGGGGAUAGAUUAUUGCAAUUAUUAAUCUUCAACGAGGAAUGCCUAGUAAGCGCAAGUCAUCAGCUUGCGUUGAUUACGUCCCUGCCCUUUGUACACACCGCCCGUCGCUCCUACCGAUUGAAUGGUCCGGUGAAGCGUUCGGACCGUGGCCUUUGGACGGUUCGCCGUCUGUUGGCUGCGGGAAGUUCGUUAAACCUUAUCAUUUAGAGGAAGGAGAAGUCGUAACA
rnacentral:rRNA from 1 species